rnacentral:lncRNA from 1 species
UUUGUAAACAUUGUGCUUGUAACCGGAACCUUCAUUCGUAUUAAUACAGUGGUGUUAAUCGGUGAAUCCUUGUGUGUUUGUGUUUGUGCUUGUCUCAACCCGGUUUGCUUGCUAGCUUGGAUUCCGCACUCGCUAGUGGGUUUGUAUAACAAGGUUUAGGUUCGUCAUCCUCCGGAAAGGGACCUACAAGUGGUAUCAGAGCUAAGGCUCUUUACCUUGUUUAAAAUCGGGUUUUUGUUCAAGUCUUGGGUUGUUUUUUUUUGGUCAGAUCUGGAAAACCCAGUCACCGUGUUCUUGCUGUGUUCUUGAAGUUCUUGAGAUCUUCAUAUUUCGAAAGAUCAUAUAUCAGUUUGAAAGAUCAACUGUUUCGAAGGGUCAACCACCUUUUUGUCUCGAAAGAUCAAGCUAAAAUCUCGAAGGAUAUUCACAGUGUCGAAGGGUCAACCCAAACAAUUCGAAGGGUCAUCUUUGUUUUUCGAAGGAUCAAGCUAAACUUCGAAGGGUCAAAUUUAUUUGUUGUUAGUGGUGCACCUCCCUAGGUUCUCUGACCAUUCCACUGCCCAAGAAAACAAAUAAACUUUGUUGACUUUUGCUUGUGAUCCGUUCAAGGCACUGCCGCCUGACAAGAAAAAUCAAAAGGAUUUUGCAUGUUUAAACUUUAUCAAAGCCAAAGUGGUCACAAACAAUCAAUCCAUUCCACCGCCCAAAGUUCAGUGCACUGCCCAAGAAAACAAAUUAAUUUUGUUUGAUUAUGCCGCCCAAGUGACCUAUAAAAUUCGUUUGUUUGUUCUUGUUGUGCGCCGCCCAAGUCACUUUGAUUGGUUGUUGUUGGAUUCAAGUCAAAGCACUCCAACAAGAAAAUAAUUUUUAAAAAGGCCCACUUUCCGUUUGAGAUAGUGCACCGCCCAAAGGUUUUUUUUUUUUUGUUGAUUGGUGUUGAAGAAAAAGUUCACCGUCAUGAUCUU